GAUGAACGCUAGCUACAGGCUUAACACAUGCAAGUCGAGGGACCGGCGCACGGGUGAGUAACACGUAUCCAACCUGCCCUUUACUCGGGGAUAGCCUUUCGAGAGAAAGAUUAAGAACCGAUAUAAAGGAUGGGGAUGCGUUCAUUUAGGUUGUUGGUGAGGUAACGGCUCACCAAGCCGUCGAUGGAGAGGGGUUCGGCGAGGCAGGCCGCCCCCAUUGGAACUGAGACACUGUCCAAACUCCUACGGGAGGCAGCAGUGAGGAGGAUUGGUCAAUGUGCGCUAGCCUGACCCAGCCAAGUAGCGUGAAGGAUGGAUGCUUAUGGGUCGUAAACUUCUUUUAUAUAAGAAUAUGUAUUAUAUGAAUAAGGAUCGGCUAACUCCGUGCCAGCAGCCGCGGUAAUUC
rnacentral:rRNA from 1 species